rnacentral:snRNA from 1 species
AGCUUUGUGCAGUGGCAGUAUUAUACCCACUGAGGUUUACCUGAGAUGUGACUUUUGCUAAUUGAAAAUAAUUUCAG